rnacentral:rRNA from 1 species
AUUGAACGCUGGCGGCAUGCUUUACACAUGCAAGUCGAACGGUAACAGGCCGCAAGGUGCUGACGAGUGGCGAACGGGUGAGUAAUGCAUCGGAACGUGCCCAGUCGUGGGGGAUAACUGCUCGAAAGAGCAGCUAAUACCGCAUACGAUCUAUGGAUGAAAGCGGGGGACCGUAAGGCCUCGCGCGAUUGGAGCGGCCGAUGUCAGAUUAGGUAGUUGGUGGGGUAAAGGCUCACCAAGCCAACGAUCUGUAGCUGGUCUGAGAGGACGUCCCGCCACACUGGGACCGGGACACGGCCCAGACUCCUACGGGAGGCAGCAGUGGGGAAUUUUGGACAAUGGGGGCAACCCUGAUCCGGCAAUGCCGCGUGAAGGAAGAAGGCCUUCGGGUUGUAAACUGCUUUUGUACGGAACGAAACGGUCUGGGCUAAUACCCUGGGCUAAUGACGGUACCGUAAGAAUAAGCACCGGCUAACUACGUGCCAGCAGCCGCCGUAAGAC